UUCUCGUGCAACAAGUUGACAGGGGAGAUUCCCCACCAAGUGAACAAGUUCCAAAACAUCUUUGCUUUGAAUCUAUCUCACAAUAGUUUGAGAGGAUCAAUCCCACCAGCAUUUUCGAUCUGAAGCAAAUCGAGAGCCUCGAUCUUUCCCACAACAACUUGAGUGGUACAAUCCCUCCACAAUUCCUGGGGUUACAUA